AGUGAACGCUGGCGGUAGGCCCAACACAUGCAAGUCGAACGGCAGCACAGUAAGAGCUUGCUCUUACGGGUGGCGAGUGGCGGACGGGUGAGGAAUACAUCGGAAUCUACUUUUUCGUGGGGGAUAACGUAGGGAAACUUACGCUAAUACCGCAUACGACCUACGGGUGAAAGCAGGGGAUCUUCGGACCUUGCGCGAUUGAAUGAGCCGAUGUCGGAUUAGCUAGUUGGCGGGGUAAAGGCCCACCAAGGCGACGAUCCGUAGCUGGUCUGAGAGGAUGAUCAGCCACACUGGAACUGAGGCACGGUCCAGACUCCUACGGGAGGCAGCAGUGGGGAAUAUUGGACAAUGGGCGCAAGCCUGAUCCAGCCAUACCGCGUGGGUGAAGAAGGCCUUCGGGUUGUAAAGCCCUUUUGUUGGGAAAGAAAAGCAGCAGGUUAAUACCCCGCUGUUCUGACGGUACCCAAAGAAUAAGCACCGGCUAACUUCGUG
rnacentral:rRNA from 1 species